rnacentral:rRNA from 1 species
AUUGAACGCUGGCGGCAGGCCUAACACAUGCAAGUCGAGCGGCAGCGGGAAAGUAGCUUGCUACUUUUGCCGGCGAGCGGCGGACGGGUGAGUAAUGCCUGGGAAAUUGCCCAGUCGAGGGGGAUAACAGUUGGAAACGACUGCUAGUACCGCAUACGCCCUACGGGGGAAAGCAGGGGACCUUCGGGACUUGCGCGAUUGGAUAUGCCCAGGUGGGGUUAGCUAGGUGGUGAGGUAAUGGCUCACCAAGGCGACGAUCCCUAGCUGGUCUGGAGGGAUGAUCAGCCACACUGGAACUGAGACACGGUCCAGACUCCUACGGUAGGCAGCAGUUGGGAAUAUUGCACAAUGGGGGAAACCCUGAUGCAACCAUGCCGCGUGUGUGAAGAAGGCCUUCGGGUUGUAAAGCACUUUCAGCGAGGAGGAAAGGUUGAUGCCUAAUACGUAUCAACUGUGACGUUACUCGCAGAAGAAGCACCGGCUAACUCCGUGCCAGCCGCCGCGGUAACAC